AGAAACUUAGGAUAACCUACCUUAAACCGAAGGCCUUCAAAGCCUUAAACAAGAGUUAAACCCUCUUAGUUUCUG
rnacentral:tRNA from 1 species